AGGAUCGAGAGGGACAGACCUCUGGUGUUCCAGUUGUCCCGCCAGGGGCACUGCUGGGUAGCUACGUCUGGUGCGGAUAAGCGCUGAAAGCAUCUAAGUGCGAAGCCGUCCCCAAGAUUAGAUCUCCCACCGGUAUAACCGGGUAAGACCGCAAGUAGAUUACUUGUUUGAUAGGCGGUACGUGUAAGGGCAGUAAUGUCCUCAGCUAAACCGUACUAACGGUCGAGGGCUUGACCUG
rnacentral:rRNA from 1 species